AGUAGGGAAUCUUGGUCAAUGGGCGCAAGCCUGAACCAGCCACGCCGCGUGCAGGAAGAAGGUCCUCAGGAUUGUAAACUGCUUUUAUCAGGGGGUAAAAAGACGCUGCGGCGUAAAUGAAAGUACCUGAAGAAUAAGCACCGGCUAACUACGUGCCAGCAGCCGCGGUAAU
rnacentral:rRNA from 1 species